CAGCCGCCGCGGUAAUACAGAGGAUGCAAGCGUUACUCGGAAUUACUGGGCGUAAAGCGUGCGUAGGUGGUGGUUUAAGUCUGCUGUGAAAGCCCUGGGCUCAACCUGGGAAUUGCAGUGGAUACUGGAUCACUAGGGUGUGGUAGAGGGAUGCGGAAUUUCUGGUGUAGCAGUGAAAUGCGUAGAGAUCAGAAGGAACAUCCGUGGCGAAGGCGGCAUCCUGGGCCAACACUGACACUGAGGCACGAAAGCGUGGGGAGCAAACAGGAUUAGAUACCCCCGUAGUCCCUGUCUCUUAUAA
rnacentral:rRNA from 1 species